rnacentral:rRNA from 1 species
CCUACGGGGGGCAGCAGUAGGGAAUCUUCGGCAAUGGACGAAAGUCUGACCGAGCAACGCCGCGUGAGUGAAGAAGGUUUUCGGAUCGUAAAACUCUGUUGGUAGAGAAGAACGUUGGUGAGAGUGGAAAGCUCAUCAAGUGACGGUAACUACCCAGAAAGGGACGGCUAACUACGUGCCAGCAGCCGCGGUAAUUCGUAGGUCCCGAGAGUUUUCCGGAUUUGUUGGGCGGAAAGCGAGCGCAGGUGGUGUAGUAAGUCGGGUGUAAAAGGCAGUGGCUCAACCAUUGUAUGCAUUGGAAACUGGUAGACUUGAGUGCAGGAGAGGAGAGUGGAAUUCCAUGUGUGGCGGUGAAAUGCGUAGAUAUAUGGAGGAACAACAGUGGCGAAAGCGGCUCGCUGGCCUGUAACUGACACUGAGGCUCGAAAGCGUGGGGAGCAAACAGGGUUAGAUACCCCAGUAGUC